AGCGAACGCUGGCGGCAGGCCUAACACAUGCAAGUCGAACGCCCCUUCGGGGGAGUGGCGGACGGGUGAGUAACGCGUGGGAAUGUGCCCUUUGGUACGGAACAACUGAGGGAAACUUCAGCUAAUACCGUAUGUGCCCUACGGGGGAAAGAUUUAUCGCCUUUGGAGCAGCCCGCGUUGGAUUAGGUAGUUGGUGGGGUAAUGGCCCACCAAGCCGACGAUCCAUAGCUGGUCUGAGAGGAUGAUCAGCCACACUGGGACUGAGACACGGCCCAGACUCCUACGGGAGGCAGCAGUGGGGAAUCUUGCGCAAUGGGCGAAAGCCUGACGCAGCCAUGCCGCGUGAAUGAUGAAGGUCUUAGGAUUGUAAAAUUCUUUCACCGGGGAAGAUAAUGACGGUACCCGGAGAAGAAGCCCCGGCUAACUUCGUG
rnacentral:rRNA from 1 species